UACGUAGGGGGCAAGCGUUGUCCGGAAUCAUUGGGCGUAAAGCGCGCGUAGGCGGCCCGGUAAGUCGGUUGUAAAAGUCAAAGGCUCAACCUUUGAAAGCCGAUGGAUACUGCCGGGCUAGAAUCCGGAAGAGGCGAGUGGAAUUCCUGGUGUAGCGGUGGAAUGCGCAGAUAUCAGGAGGAACACCUGCGGUGUAGACGGCUUACUGGACCAUCACUGACGCUGAGGCACGAAAGCGUGGGUAGCAAACAGG
rnacentral:rRNA from 1 species